rnacentral:tRNA from 1 species
GGACUGUGGCUCAGUGGUAGAGCAGUCACCUGGCAUGUGUAAGGUACUGGGUUCGAUCCUUAGCACCA